GAUGGAGGGGGAUAACUACUGGAAACGGUAGCUAAUACCGCAUAACGUCGCAAGACCAAAGAGGGGGACCUUAGGGCCUCUUGCCAUCGGAUGUGCCCAGAUGGGAUUAGCUAGUAGGUGGGGUAAAGGCUCACCUAGGCGACGAUCCCUAGCUGGUCUGAGAGGAUGACCAGCCACACUGGAACUGAGACACGGUCCAGACUC
rnacentral:rRNA from 1 species